AAAACAGUCCUUUUCAGGACUACCCAAUAUCAUCUAAUCAGAACAC
rfam:Acyrthosiphon pisum strain LSR1 Contig12222, whole genome shotgun sequence.